GAAUCUGCCCUUUGGAGUGGGACAACGACUGGAAACGGUCGCUAACACCGCAUGAGCCGAGAGGUAAAAGUAUUUAUAGCCAAAGGAUGAGCUCGCGUCGGAUUAGCUAGUUGGUAGUGUAAUGGACUACCAAGGCGACGAUCCGUAGCUGGUCUGAGAGGAUGAUCAGCCACACUGGGACUGAGACACGGCCCAGACUCCUACGGGAGGCAGCAGUGGGGAAUUUUCCGCAAUGGGCGCAAGCCUGACGGAGCAAGACCGCGUGGGGGAGGAAGGUCUGUGGAUUGUAAACCCCUUUUGACCGGGAAGAACACAAUGACGGUACCAGUCGAAUCAGCCUCGGCUAACUCCGUGCCAGCAGCCGCGGUAAUACGGAGGAGGCAAGCGUUAUCCGGAUUUAUUGGGCGUAAAGCGUCCGCAGGUGGUUUAUCAAGUCUGCUGUCAAAGCACGGAGCUUAACUUCGUAUCGGCAGUGGAAACUGAUGAACUUGAGUGUGAUAGGGGCAGAGGGAAUUCCCAGUGUAGCGGUGAAAUGCGUAGAGAUUGGGAAGAACACCGGUGGCGAAAGCGCUCUGCUGAGUCAUAACUGACACUGAGGGACGAAAGCUAGGGGAGCGAA
rnacentral:rRNA from 1 species